GACGUAGGGCGCGAGCGUUGCCCGGAUUUAUUGGGCGUAAAGAGCUCGUAGGCGGCUCAUUGCGUCAACCGUGAAAACCUGCCGCUCAACGGUAGGCUUGCGGUUGAUACGGGUGGGCUGGAGUUCGGUAGGGGAGACUGGAAUUCCUGGUGUAGCGGUGAAAUGCGCAGAUAUCAGGAAGAACGACCCGUGGCGGAAGGCGGCUCUCUGGGACGGUACUGACGCUGAGACGCGAAAGCGUGGGGAGCGAACAGGG
rnacentral:rRNA from 1 species